UCCUGGAGAGUACUUACACCCUGACUAACGCUGACUGUCUGGACACCGGACUUUACACCUGUUCUGUCAGAAACAGUGUCUCUACCACAGCGGUCACCAGGGAUAUAUUUAUAAAUGUUCUGUGUAAACCACGUCAGGACCCAAGAGUUAAACUUAAUAACGAUUUUGGAUUAGCAACGACUGAGACUUUAGUCAUGAAUGUCAUGUUCCUUUCGAAUCCGGAACCAACUUUUUCUUGGUCUUUCGAAACAUCACCAGGCACGGGUGUUACAAAUCUUGUCAAUGGCAGAGACAAUUUUGAUAUUCAAAAUAUGUUCACAGUGAGAAAUAUGUCAGCCGUAUCAGUCGGGACACGAAAGAAUAUACAAGCGUCCUGGUUUAGUGUCUACAAUGUAACGGCGACGAACAGUCAGGGCAGUGAUACACUCAGUUUUACUGCUGCAGCAAAAGGAAAACCAGACCCUCCGUAUGGGGGUUUAGCUAUGUGCCCUUUUGAAGAUCGAGCCACGCUGAGUUGGACACC